CUAAACAACGUCUCAGAUUUCUCAGGUCCCCUUACAUGCCAUAUGACAGAGAUUUCCAUUUUAGACUGAUCUGGGGUGGCGGUUGCAAGGCCUUGGAAUCCAUUACAACUCCAUCAGGUGGCACAGGGUAUCUGCACGGGCCUGAAGUUGUUGGGCUUCAACAGGUAGGUCUACGUGUGAGUUUGGGGAUGUGUGCAGCUCCUGCUCAGUUCAGAAGUGGGUCAUGAGCUCCGUGUGCCAACAUUUCUUUGGAUUCUUCCUUUGGAUUCCAUUUCUUUGGAUUCUGCGUCCUCAGCAGCCAAAGUAGGCUUUUCUGAUUCUUGUUCUAAAAUGGUAACUGAUGUUUUUAAAAUGCCAUUGUUUCCCACUAAAAUCUCUGUGAAGAUUAUUGGACUUUGUGACUGUUAUUUACUUGAAACUAUUAAUUAAAUCAAAAUAUCCCUUAUGAAAACCCUUGCAUUUUCCCUUCUAUAGAUUGUUUAUCCAGAUUAGGAUCUCUAGCUAUUUAGUGUCAGGAUAUGAAAUUUAUAAAUAUAACUUUUGAACAAAAGAACUAACCCAGAGAAAAAAGAAAAAUGUGAUACAUGGCAAAGUUUGAUUAUAUUAAAAAAUUGCCCCUUUUAGCCUAAAUGUUCAGAUCCAUGUUAAUGAAGAAUCCCAGGAUACUACAUGAUUGACUGUUUCCCUAGCUCUAGUCGGAGUUCCUUGAAGCCUGGGACUCCAUGUCAUUUAUCCCUCAAUUCCCAGGGCUCACCCCAGGGGUUGGUCCAGCCCUGGUAGUCAGUGUUUAUAUCCGAAAACAGAUUGGGGCUUCCCUUGCUUAGACUUACAGAUAGUAGAUUUUUUUUUCUCAUUCUUAGUAGUAUACAUAUUAAUUUAUUAAUAUUAUUUAUAUUUUCUUAAACAGUUACACACCUCAUCAUUUACAUAAUCAUUCAAUGAUUAUGAUUUGUUGUAAGAGCAGGUUGACUUUUCUUUUAUUUCCAGAGUCUUAUGAGAUUUCAGUGGGUCAGUGGUUCUCAUGUGUGAGAAUAGGGCAUGAUUCCUCAUCUGUUUCUGAUUCUUGUGGGUCUUAGAAGGCCAGGCGGGGUCCCAUCUGUAAAAAUGGAAACUCUUGUGAAAAUGCCUCAAGGGCUCACUUUUAAGGUGUCUCCGGGAGGUCUCAGCUAUUGACGACCCAAUCAAAAUCACCCAGUCUUAUUGGACAUCUGUUUGUCCUCAGAAGGGCUUAUUCUGAUUCUCCCGACUUCAGUCACUGAGAAAGUAUUGGGUUCUAAUGUGAGACAGGAAAAGCAUUAAACAAAGAGAAAGAUCCUUCAUUUUCAGUAGCGGCCUUUGCACUACAUUCACUCGUUGCCUUAUGUUCUGUGCUCUCUGUUUGUCUGUAUUACAGGUGCUCUUGGGCAAUUCUUAGCUCAUCAGCAUUAAAAAAUGUUUAAUAAAAGGCUUAAAAAUAAAACUUUUCA
rnacentral:lncRNA from 12 species